GAUGAAGAACGUAGCGAAAUGCGAUAAGUAAUGUGAAUUGCAGAAUUCAGUGAAUCAUCGAAUCUUUGAACGCACCUUGCGCUCCUUGGUAUUCCGAGGAGCAUGCCUGUUUGAGUGUCAUUAAAUUCUCAACCUCACCAGUUUUCUGAACUGUUCUCCGAGGCUUGGAUGUGGGGGUUUGUGCAGGCUGCCUCAGCGCGGUCUGCUCCCCUGAAAUGCAUUAGCGAGUUCGAUACUGAGCUCCGUCUAUUGGUGUGAUAAUUAUCUACGCCGUGGAUCGGGGCUUAGACUCGCUUCUAACCGUCCGCAAGGACAAUACCUUGACAAUUUGACCUCAAAUCAGGUAGGACUACCCGCUGAACUUAAGCAUAUCAAUAAGCGGAG
rnacentral:misc_RNA from 1 species